GGAAGAUCUUCGUUGGUUUUUAUUUGAUGCUGCUGAAAAUACCUUUUAACUCAAAGAUGAGGACUUUGACACAUAAAGGUUAUUUGAAAGGAGGGAAAACUCCCAAAGCAUCCACUGUUCUCGCUAUUGCUAUGGAAGAAAAACUACUUGGACCAGGCUUGGAGGAAUAAAAACGUUAGAUCAAGCAGCAUCAGACAGAAAGAAGUCUGGCAUUAAUGAACCAAUCAGCACAGGACAACUCGAAGCAAAGCAAGAUCAGAAGAUGCAGAGAGUUCCAGCCCAUAGAACGGCCAAGAGUUUGGCAUGACUGAAUGGAUAACAUCUUCAUGCUGUGCAAAGUAGACUGCAGCAGCAAUUACAGGGCAGCCUUCUGGUUUGGUUGAAUUCUUCUACCCCUGGAAGAUCCUAUGCAUCUCCUGACACUUGAGGACAUAUCUUGUUUGCUGUUCCGACCAGUUUCAGAUGAUGGGACAAGGUUCAAUGCUGUGAAUCUAAUCUGGUUCAAAAGCAGAAGCAGGCCUUUUGAAAGCCCAACCAGGAAGACAGCAGUGGCAGCUCAGGUCUUGAAAUGGUGGGAGAAAUACUUCGAAACCCCUGUUUCUCAGGUUAUUUAAAAGGAAAAAUGCUGAAAGCAUCCACUGUUCUCAGUAUUGGUGUGGAAGAGAAGCUACUUGGACAGGCUUGGAGGAAAUGUUAGACCAAGCAGCAUCAGAUAGAAAGAAGUCUGGCAUUAAUGAACCAGCAGAGCAUAGAACAACUCAAAGCAAAGCAAGCUCAGAAGAUGCAGAGAGUCCUGGCCCAUAGAAUGGCCAAGAGUUAGGCAUGACUGAAUGGAUAACAUCAGUUCUUGUGCAGCGUAGACUGCAGCAGCAUUUAUAGUGUUGGUUAUAGCAGGGGUCUCCAAAGCUUUGUUGGCUGAGGAAUUCGGGGAGCUGAAGUCCACAAGUUGCCAAGGUUGGAGACCCCUGGGUUAUACCUGCGAUUGGUAUUUGUGUUGGUAACAGUACAAACUCUGAGUUAUUUGGUUUUUCUUAGUUUGCUAUGAGAACCUGUUCACUUUAGUUUGUAAAUGAUCAUGUAUUGUUGAAUAUUGAUGAACCUAAUAAUUUGAAUUCAGCCUAUCUAUGCUUUAACAAGCCCUGCUUAGCCACAUUUUUGGGGAUUCUGCUUGCAGCCGCUGCUGUGGCUGAGUGGGGCUUAAGAUGCUUAGAGGACCUAUUAAGAACAGGAGGAACAUAAUCUUGAACUCCUGCCUUUCUGAGCCCUUUUUAUACAGCAUGUUACUGGAAUUUGAUAAUUGGGUAUUUUCUGUUUUCCCCUCUUAAUAUUGUUUUAUGGCUUUGCAAACCUUUAUGUAUUUAUACACACAUGUAUUAAAGACCAGUACCAUUCAUUCUAUGUGCAAGUCUUCACGUUACUGAUUAGUUCAACUAUAAAUUGAUUUCUAACACCAUUACAGAAAUAGUUCUCCAAUGGUUUCACGAUCACUUAUUUGGACAAAGUUGAGAAUUAAUUUCUCCAACUGGCAUGUUACUACAUUUCUGUACAUUCUGACCAGCUUGCAGUAUUGGUAUUGAGCAGAAGUCUCCAAACUUGACAAGCUAUGCUGGCUGAGGAAUUCUGGGAGUUGACGUCCACAAGUCUUAAAGUUGCCAAGUUUGGGGACCCCUGGUAUUUAGGUUAAAGUAAAAAUUGGUAAAUCGCAUACUCUCAGUCUGGUGUGGCACCAUUUGAAGUAGCCUGAUGUUACUUUUCCCCCAGUGCUCUGAGUGUCAUAUUUUAUGGUUUGCGAUAGAGUAGCUAGAAGUUCACAUAUUAAUGGAUACUUCAAUUACUGGGGUUCCUGGCUUGCCACUUAGCAUUUGAGACUUCCUGUGAUCCAGCGGUUUCAAAGUGUGCUCUGAAACUUCUUAUGCCUCCUCUGUAUAAGCGUAGAGAGCAAAGUGCACAAUCUUUUUAAGAAUGAGGAAGUGAAUUUUUGGAAGUGAUUCUCGUGCCAUAUCAGUCAUCAGACGUUGGCAAUCAUGUUAGCAAUCCUAAUCAAUUGGAAGUGAUAGGAUCUGAUUAACUAUUUUUAACCUUCCUCCCAGAAUUAUAAGUCAGAUUCCUAAGCAUACUAAAAAGCAAAGACAUCACCCUGCCAGCAA
rnacentral:lncRNA from 1 species